rnacentral:piRNA from 1 species
GGUCAUCCUGGAGGGCGAGCUGGAG